rnacentral:rRNA from 1 species
AUUGAACGCUGGCGGCAGGCCUAACACAUGCAAGUCGAACGGUAGCACAGGAGAGCUUGCUCUCUGGGUGACGAGUGGCGGACGGGUGAGUAAUGCAUGGGGAGCUGCCCAAUCGAGGGGGAUACCAGCUGGAAACGGCUGCUAAUACCGCAUACGCCCUGAGGGGGAAAGGUGGGGACCUUCGGGCCUACCGCGAGUGGAUGCACCCAUGUGGGAUUAGCUAGUUGGUGAGGUAACGGCUCACCAAGGCGACGAUCUAUAGCUGGUCUGCGAGGAUGACUAGCCACACUGGAACUGAGACACGGUCCAGACUCCGACGGGAGGCAGCAGUGGGGAAUAUUGCACAAUGGGGGAAACCCUGAUGCAGCCAUGCCGCGUGUGUGAAGAAGGCCUUCGGGUUGUAAAGCACUUUCAGUAGGGAGGAAGGGUUGAUGCCUAAUACGUAUCAACAUUGACGUUACCUACAGAAGAAGCACCGGCUAACUCCGUGCCAGCCGCCGCGGUAA